ACACAAAAUACCCUUUUCAUUCCAUUUUCAAAAUACACACUACAAAGCCCGGAAGGCCAAGGAAAGAAAAGCAAAACGACAAAAGCGGGAUAAAACAACAAAAAGGGAAGUAUACACAUGAAAAGAUGGAAGGAUGAAAGGAGCUCUAAGGAGGCUCUGCUCCCUCCGACCUAGAGUUAUCUGCUCCACCCCUCAUCUAGGACUGCCUUAGAUUCUCAAUUUCUUCUUCUAGCUCUUCCCUUUUCUGCAGCGCAUCCUGGAGCGCCCGACGAAGUCGCUGGCUCUCG
rnacentral:lncRNA from 1 species